rnacentral:rRNA from 1 species
CCUACGGGCGGCAGCAGUGAGGAAUAUUGGUCAAUGGGCGGGAGCCUGAACCAGCCAAGCCGCGUGAAGGAAGAAGGUGCCAGGCGUCGUAAACUUCUUUUGUCGGGGAACAAAGGGCGCCACGCGUGGCGUUCUGAGUGUACCCGAAGAAAAAGCAUCGGCUAACUCCGUGCCAGCAGCCGCGGUAAUACGGAGGAUGCGAGCGUUAUCCGGAUUUAUUGGGUUUAAAGGGUGCGUAGGCGGCAUUUUAAGUCAGCGGUGAAAGUCUGUGGCUCAAACAUAGAAUUGCCGUUGAAACUGGGGGGCUUGAGUAUGUUUGAGGCAUGCGGAAUGCGUGGUGUAGCGGUGAAAUGCUUAGAUAUCACGCAGAACCCCGAUUGCGAAGGCAGCCUGCCAAGCCAUGACUGACGCUGAUGCACGAAAGCGUGGGGAUCAAACAGGAUUAGAUACCCUUGUAGUC